GACCAACCCUUAAAGACUGCUGCAUCUUUAGGAUAUUCUAGUCCAACAUCGAGGUCACAAACUCUCUUUUCGAUAAGGACUCUCAAAGAGAAUUAUGCUGUUAUCCCUAUGGUAACUAAUUCCAUUGAUCAAAAUUUCUGGAUCAACACUUGUAAGUCUUAUUAAUUAAUAAAGAAGCUUUGUUUGUUCCAUAGUCGCCCCAACCAAAAUCUAAAAUAGAUUAAUAUUUAAAAUUAUAUAUUGUUUUCAAUUUAUUCUUUUAAAGCUCAAUAGGGUCUUCUUGUCUUUCAAUUAAAUCUAGGUUUCCUCACCUAGAAAUCAAGUUCUAAAAAAUUACAUAGAGACAGCUUUGUUCACGUCAAACCAUUCAUACUAGCCCUCAAUUAUAGGGCAAAUGAUUAUGCUACCUUUGCACGGUCAGAGUACCGCGGCCGUUAAAAUAUAUUCACUGGGCAGGUCCGACUC
rnacentral:rRNA from 1 species